rnacentral:rRNA from 1 species
GACGAACGCUGGCGGCGUGCCUAACACAUGCAAGUCGAACGGACAGGCCCUGCUUUUGUGGGGUGCUCGUGUGGGGAACGCGUGAGUAACACGUGAGUAACCUGCCCUUGUAUUUGGGAUAAAUUCAGGAAACUGGGGCUAAUACCGGAUAGGAUCUCCUGAUGCAUGGUGGGGGUUGGUAAGUUUCGGCGGUUGGGGAUGGACUCGCGGCUUAUGAGCUAGUUGGUGGGGUAGUUGCGUACCAAGGCUUUGACGGGUAGCCGGCCUGAGAGGGUGGACAGCCACAUUGGUACUAAGAGACGGCCCAGACGCCUACGGGAGGCAGUAGGGGAGAAUAUUGCACAAUGGGCGGAAGCGUGAUGCAGCAGCGCCGCGUGCGGGAUGACGGGCUUCGGGUUGUAAACAGCUGUCGCAUGAGACGAAGCGGGAGUGACGGUAAUGGGUAAAGAAGCACCGGCUAACUACGUG